UACGAACCGUGCGAACGUUGUUCGGAAUCACUGGGCUUAAAGGGCGCGUAGGCGGCUGCGUAAGUCUCGGGUGAAAUCUUUCGGCUCAACCGGAAACGUGCCUGGGAUACUGCGCAGCUCGAGGGAGGUAGGGGCGGACGGAACUUCCGGUGGAGCGGUGAAAUGCGUUGAUAUCGGAAGGAACGCCGGUGGCGAAAGCGGUCCGCUGGACCUCUACUGACGCUGAGGCGCGAAAGCCAGGGGAGCAAACGGG
rnacentral:rRNA from 1 species